rnacentral:rRNA from 1 species
CCUACGGGCUGCACCAGUGGGGAAUAUUGCACAAUGGGCGCAAGCCUGAUGCAGCCAUGCCGCGUGUGUGAAGAAGGCCUUCGGGUUGUAAAGCACUUUCAGCGGGGAGGAAGGCGCUAAGGUUAAUAACCUUAGCGAUUGACGUUACCCGCAGAAGAAGCACCGGCUAACUCCGUGCCAGCAGCCGCGGUAAUACGGAGGGUGCAAGCGUUAAUCGGAAUUACUGGGCGUAAAGCGCACGCAGGCGGUCUGUCAAGUCGGAUGUGAAAUCCCCGGGCUCAACCUGGGAACUGCAUUCGAAACUGGCAGGCUAGAGUCUUGUAGAGGGGGGUAGAAUUCCAGGUGUAGCGGUGAAAUGCGUAGAGAUCUGGAGGAAUACCGGUGGCGAAGGCGGCCCCCUGGACAAAGGCUGACGCUCAGGUGCGAAAGCGUGGGGAGCAAACAGGAUUAGAUACCCGCGUAGUC